UAGGGAAUCUUCCGCAAUGGACGCAAGUCUGACGGAGCAACGCCGCGUGAGUGAAGAAGGAUUUCGGUUCGUAAAACUCUGUUGUUAGAGAAGAACAGCGCAUAGAGUAACUGUUAUGCGUGUGACGGUAUCUAACCAGAAAGCCACGGCUAACUACGUGCCUGCAGCCGCGGUAAUACGUAGGUGGCAAGCGUUGUCCGGAUUUAUUGGGCGUAAAGCGAGCGCAGGCGGUCAAUUAAGUCUGAUGUGAAAGCCCCCGGCUCAACCGGGGAGGGUCAUUGGAAACUGGUUGACUUGAGUGCAGAAGAGGAGAGUGGAAUUCCAUGUGUAGCGGUGAAAUGCGUAGAUAUAUGGAGGAACACCAGUGGCGAAGGCGACUCUCUGGUCUGUAACUGACGCUGAGGUUCGAAAGCGUGGGUAGCAAACAGG
rnacentral:rRNA from 1 species